GAUGAACGCUGGCGGCGUGCCUAAUACAUGCAAGUCGAGCGAACGGACGAGAAGCUUGCUUUUCUGAUGUUAGCGGCGGACGGGUGAGUAACACGUGGAUAACCUACCUAUAAGACUGGGAUAACUUCGGGAAACCGGAGCUAAUACCGGAUAAUAUUUUGAACCGCAUGGUUCAAAAGUGAAAGACGGUCUUGCUGUCACUUAUAGAUGGAUCCGCGCUGCAUUAGCUAGUUGGUAAGGUAACGGCUUACCAAGGCAACGAUGCAUAGCCGACCUGAGAGGGUGCUCGGCCACACUGGAACUGAGACACGGUCCAGACUCCUACGGGAGGCAGCAGUAGGGAAUCUUCCGCAAUGGGCGAAAGCCUGACGGAGCAACGCCGCGUGAGUGAUGAAGGUCUUCGGAUCGUAAAACUCUGUUAUUAGGGAAGAACAUAUGUGUAAGUAACUGUGCACAUCUUGACGGUACCUAAUCAGAAAGCCACGGCUAACUACGU
rnacentral:rRNA from 1 species